ACUUUCCUUCGGGUAAAGAUAUAAAGUGGCGCACGGGUGAGUAACACGUAGGUAAUGUACCUUUGGGUGGGGAAUAACUUAGGGAAACUUAAGCUAAUACCGCAUAAUGCAGCGGCUUCUUCGGAAGACAGUUGUUAAAGAUUUAUCGCCUAAAGAGCAGCCUGCGGCAGAUUAGCUAGUUGGUAAGGUAACGGCUUACCAAGGCUACGAUCUGUAUCCGACCUGAGAGGGUGGUCGGACACACUGACACUGAAUAACGGGUCAGACUCCUACGGGAGGCAGCAGUCGGGAAUUUUGGGCAAUGGGCGAAAGCCUGACCCAGCAACGCCGCGUGAAGGAUGAAGUCUUUCGGGAUGUAAACUUCGUAAGAAUAGGAAGAAUAAAUGACGGUACUAUUUGU
rnacentral:rRNA from 1 species